rnacentral:rRNA from 1 species
CUACGGGAUGCAGCAGUGAGGAAUAUUGCACAAUGGGGGGAACCCUGAUGCAGCAACGCCGCGUGGAGGAUGACGCAUUUCGGUGUGUAAACUCCUUUUAUAUGUCAAGAAAAUGACGGUAGCAUAUGAAUAAGCACCGGCUAACUCCGUGCCAGCAGUCGCGGUAAUACGGAGGGUGCAAGCGUUACUCGGAAUCACUGGGCGUAAAGGACGCGUAGGCGGAUUGGAAAGUCAGGUGUGAAAUCCUACAGCUUAACUGUAGAACUGCACUUGAAACUUCUAAUCUAGAGUAUGGGAGGGGGAGAUGGAAUUAGUGGUGUAGGGGUAAAAUCCGUAGAUAUCACUAGGAAUACCUAAAGCGAAGGCGAUCUCCUGGAACAUUACUGACGCUAAGGCGUGAAAGCGUGGGGAGCAAACAGGAUUAGAUACCCCCGUAGUC